ACACAAUCCCAAAGCAAAGACUCAGAGUCACAGUGAGAGAGAGAGAAUCCGAAACACUAAAAAUGGCAGAUGAUGCGGCGGUGGAGGUCUCCGUACCCGAACGCACCACCAUUCCCUCCGACGACGACUCGGUCUGGGCUGAUGUGUCGCCUCUUCUUGAAUCCUCAUGCAAAGAUGCUUUGCUGAGGUUACCAUCAAGACUGACCCACAAAAUUUCAACUAUAUUGUUGAGUCUGGUGCUACCAAAAAUUUUGAACCCGUGUGAAUAGGAUGAGGCAGCAGAGACAAUAACCAUAAAAGAGAAGUUGGAGAGAUGGAAGAUGCAAUGAAAUCUUUUGAGAACAAAAACCUUGGAUUUGAAAAGAAAAAUGGACAUCAUUACUACAUUGGAUGGGAUGAAAUCU